CCUACGGGUGGCAGCAAUUAGGAAUCUUGCGCAAUGGGCGAAAGCCUGACGCAGCGACGCCGCGUGACUGAUGAAGUCCUUCGGGAUGUAAAGGUCUUUUGCAGGGGAAGAAGGAUGUGACGGUACCCUGCGAAUAAGCUCCGGCUAACUACGUGCCAGCAGCCGCGGUAAUACGUAGGGAGCGAGCGUUGUCCGAAUUUACUGGGCGUAAAGCGCGCGUAGGCGGGCUUUUAAGUUGGGGGUGAAAUCCCGGAGCUUAACUCCGGAACUGCCUCCAAAACUGGAAGCCUUGAGGUAUGGAGAGGGAAGUGGAAUUCCUGGUGUAGCGGUGAAAUGCGUAGAUAUCAGGAGGAACACCCGUGGCGAAGGCGGCUUCCUGGCCAUAUCCUGACGCUGAGGUGCGAAAGCUAGGGGAGCGAACG
rnacentral:rRNA from 1 species